rnacentral:rRNA from 1 species
GACGAACCGUGCAAACGUUAUUCGGAAUCACUGGGCUUAAAGCGCGUGUAGGCGGGCCGGCACGUCGGUCGCUGAAAUCCCCCGGCUCAACCGGGGAAGCGGCGCCGAUACGACCGGCCUGGAGGGGCGUAGGGGGACCUGGAACUUCCGGUGGAGCGGUGAAAUGCGUUGAGAUCGGAAGGAACGCCCGUGGCGAAAGCGAGGUCCUGGACGCCAUCUGACGCUGAGACGCGAAAAGCCAGGGGAGGCGAACGGGG